GGAGGUAUGGUUCAGCGGUAGAGUGCAUGCUUGGCAUGCAUGAGACCCUGGGUUCAAUCCCCAGUACCCCCA